UUAUGGUUAUGGUAAUAAAAUGUGAGGUGAUUUAUGAAAAAUAGUUCAGUAGGAAUUGUUGAAUGCAACAUAUAAAUACAAAACACAUAUGUUCAUUAAAUAUUUUACUAAUAUUUAAAACAUGAUCGUAGUCAAACCGUUAAUAUUUUUAACUGGAAUUGGUGUUGUUGUUUCCAAAAGUUUUACAGAAAAACUUAUUUACAAUUUAGAUAACACAAGAACACUUUUUAAUAAGUUUAUUAAAGAUUAUGAGAAAAUUUACAAUGAUGAGAACGAGAAACAGGUGCGAUUCAAUGUUUUCAAAAGAAACUUAAUCGAAUCUAACAGCUUACACUUAAAACAUCCCCAUACGACUUUUGCUGUAGAUUCAAAGAACUUCCAACAAUAUAAAGGUGGUAUUUUUCUUAUUGCGGCAAGAAUAUUGAUCACGCCGUUUUGUUGGUCGGCUACGGUGUGGAAAAAGGUGUAAGGGUGGACAAUAAAGAAUAAUGCUGGCCCAAACUUCGGUGAAGGCGGAUACAUCAGAAUCCUGAGAGGGAAGAACACGUGUGGCAUAGUCAAUGAGCAAAUCGUGUCUUUAGUUGUGGGAUGAGAAGUUCUUUUUUUAAAUAAAGUUGUAGGUAUUUAUUUUCAUUGUAGUAUACUUGCGAGAUUACGUGCCGGUCCUCGCAUGUAACUGUACAUCACAGCCACAUGACUGAUGUUCCAACGUCUGUGCGUCUCGCCGUCUCGUAAACAACUGAGCGCUUGCUCGCAGCGCUA